rnacentral:misc_RNA from 1 species
UCUCCGUUGGUGAACCAGCGGAGGGAUCAUUGCUGGAACGCGUCCCUCACGGGGCGCACCCCAGAAACCCUUUGUGAACUUAUACCUAUGUCGUUGCCUCGGCAGUGGUGUCUCUUCCCCGUCCGCGGGGAUGGGGGCAGCCUGCCGGUGGACCACACCAAAACUCUUGUUGUUACAGUGUCAUUCUGAAUUUAAAAACUUAAUCAGUUAAAACUUUCAACAACGGAUCUCUUGGUUCUGGCAUCGAUGAAGAACGCAGC